AAAAAAAAAGCCUGUUUGGACAACCCAUUAAAGCGAGGAAUUAUUUCUUUUUAUAAAUUCCUUAUUCCUUUUCUUUUUCAUUUAUUUUCUUUUUCCCCGUGCCUAAAUUUCCUUCUCUCCCGAGCCUCAUUCGGCCCCGACGCCGAUUCUUCUCGCGCCGAAGCCCUAACCGCCGGCGUGCCCUAACCGCCGGCCACUCGGCGGUUCUCUCCUCUCUUCUCCCACUCGUGCAUAAGCCCGGACCAAGGGAGAAGCCGACCUUCUUCUUCUCUCGGUGUUUCUUCUCUCUGUGCUUGUGCCGUGCGACAUCGCCGAUCCCUUGCCGCUGCCUUCUCUGGACCGAAGCAGCGCCGGUCAUCGUCGGCCACCCUGUGCCCUAGUGCCAAUCUCCUGCGGUGCUCUCUUUUCCUCCACUCAUUCUCCGCCGCGCCUAUCUCCGAUUGCCAGCCAUCCGAGCAGCGCCGAUCAAGCCGAGGUUCCUCAGCCCUAGCAUCGGCCUCUCCUCCUUCUACUCGAGCCGUCGCCUGUGCCCUAGAGGAGUCUUCUUCCCGCACGAAGCCAGCACAACAGUGCCAGCAGAUCGCCGAGUUCCUCUGUGCUCGUGCCUUAGUGUCAUCUCCCGUGCCCUAGACUCAGUGUUGGGGUGACUUUUUCCGUCCACCAAUUGCCGACGGUGAGGAGAACAGGGGGGAGUGAGUUAGGGAAGAAACACUGCUGCUAGGGUUUUUGGGCGGUGAUCACGCUGUUGUAUUGCCACCGAGGAGUUAUAGGGUUUGUUUUACUGUGGAGUGUUCUUGGUCCGGCAGCAGCCUUCCCUAGCAGUGGGACUUUGACGCGAGACGGUAUCUCGACGAGUAUCUUGAUUACCGGAUUGAAC